CUCUGCCUCCUGAGUGCUGGGAUUAAAGGUGUGCGCCACCACGCCCUGCGAGAAAACUUUUUUUAAGGUAUGGCGGUUCAGGUGAGAAUGUUCCCACAUGACCAGAUAUUUGAACUCUUGGUCCCAAGUUGGUGGUGCUCUCUGGGACAAGAGGGUGGGGUGGGACGAGGACGACAGGGUGGGUGGCAGUCCUCCCUCCACUUCCUGUUCUCUCUCCCCUGCUUGUUAUUGACGUGCUGGGGGGGGAGGGUUAGAGGAGGGGGAGCGGUCCUCCCUCCACUUCCUGUUAGUUCUCUCUCCCCUGCUUGCCUUUGGCAAACAGGUUUCUCAGCUUCUCCCUCAGCCACUCUGAUGUCCUGCUGAGAUGCCUUUCCACCACCAUAGGCUCGCAGCCUCUGAAAGCCCGUGGCUUGAUAAUUAACCUGAGGGAAUGACCAAGAUUAGAUUUUUGUGCUCCCAGCAUGUGCCAGUAGUUGGAGGCAGGAGAUGAGUGCCAAAUUAUCCCAAAUUGAAAUUUACAGCACAUAAGUCAGAAGCAGCCAAAUUAAGCCUGGUAAGUUACAGUUCCCACGUUUAAUCACUUCUUUAAUAAACAUAUUUAAGGGACCACACAGAUGCCUUAAAUUGUCGUGCUGUUAAAAGGCAUCGGGACGGUUUCUCCCUACAGAUAUGAAGUGAUCUGAAGCAGACUUUGUUAAAUGAAAAAGCAAGGUGCAAAAGCAUAAAAUGGCAGGCUAUUGGGGGGGGGGAGGGGGAGAGAGGGAGAGAGAACCAUGAACUAUGACUGUGGAAGUAUUUAUAUGCAUGCGGGCCUGCUUUUAUUUGCAAA
rnacentral:lncRNA from 1 species